rnacentral:misc_RNA from 1 species
GUGAACAAUCGCUCCAAGUCGAGCUUUUCCCUUAACAAUGCAGUAAGGUAUCUCCAUCUUCCUGCACAAGGCAGGUAGCCAAACCACAAGCUCAAUCGGGUCCACAUCAUGGGCAAUUACAACCAGUUGAGCCUUGUUCUGCUCAAUAAGGUAUGUGAUGUGAUUAAGCCCAUACUUGACCACAAUAGGCUUCUUGACCUCGACAGUCUUCCCUUCAGUCUCAGCUUGAGCCCUCUUCAAAAGCCGCUCUUUCUUUGCAGCUUUAUCCUCAGGACGGUAUUUGAGAAACAUCUUGAAAAGGUUGGUUGCAAGAUUUUUGUCGAGAGUCCUCGUGAACUGGUUGAUAGCCGGGGGAACCUUGAGCCUCUGCUUGAGGAUCCUGCGCUGACGCUGGAUCCGGACAACCUUGGGCCACUUGACGAACCGAUGCAGAUCCCUCUUCGGCGGCAGC